GGCUCAGAAUGAACGUUGGCGGCGUGGAUUAGGCAUGCAAGUCGUGCGAGAAUCUUCCUUCGGGAAGUGGACAGCGGCGAAAGGGAGAGUAAUACGUAGAAAUCUACCUUCAAGCCCGGGAUAGCGUCGGGAAACUGGCGGUAAUACCGGAUAAUAUCUCCGGAUCAAAGGUGUGAUUCCGCUUGAAGAUGAGUCUACGUCCUAUUAGCUAGUUGGCGGGGUAAUGGCCCACCAAGGCAACGAUGGGUAGCGGGUGUGAGAGCAUGAUCCGCCUCACUGGGACUGAGACACUGCCCAGACACCUACGGGUGGCUGCAGUCGAGAAUCUUUGUCAAUGGACGAAAGUCUGAACAAGCGACGCCGCGUGCGGGAUGAAGGCCUUCGGGUUGUAAACCGCUGUCGUAGGGGAACAAAUGUAUGGGGGUUCUCUCCUUUACUUGAGUGAUCCUAGGAGGAAGGACGGGCUAAGUUCGUGCCAGCAGCCGCGGUAAGACGAACCGUCCAAACGUUAUUCGGUAUCACUGGGCUUAAAGAGUUCGUAGGCGGCCAUGCAGGUCAGGUGUGAAACCCCACAGCUCAACUGUGGAACUGCGCUUGAAACCGCAUGGCUUGAGGGAGAUAGAGGUGAGCGGAACAGAUGGUGGAGCGGUGAAAUGCGUUGAUAUCAUCUGGAACACCGGUGGCGAAAGCGGCUCACUGGAUCUCUUCUGACGCUCAGGAACGAAAGCUAGGGUAGCGAACGGGAUUAGAUACCCCGGUAGUCCUAGCCGUAAACCAUGAGCACUAGUCCGAGGGGACUCUCAAGUCCUCUCGGACGUAGCGAAAGUAUUAAGUGCUCCGACUGGAGAGUAU
rnacentral:rRNA from 1 species